rnacentral:lncRNA from 1 species
CACAUGUCUGAGCACACAUAAGGGACUCUGUGAAUAUGUGUGUAUUUGUUGUGUGCAUGCCCGCAGAAUGGGAUACAGAGACUCACUCUAUUCAUCAGGGAUUUGUUUUAAUCAGGAAUUGGCAGGCAUGGGAAGAGCACGCUGUCCAGGGUCGGCAAGGCCUGGAAAUGUCAGAGCAUCAGAAUACUGAAAAUAAAAGACAUGGUUAAAUCUAUUUUGGUGGCGAGGCUGGGGACACUGGGAAUAUGAUACUGAUCAAUCUAGAAUGUGUGGAGGAGUGGACAGCAGUUUUUAAUCAGACAAGACCUUCAACCCCGGCACAGACCAUCAAUUGGCAGGUGUUAAAACAGACCAAAAUGUGUUCUCCCGCCCAGAAGCAAGCAAAGCCAACCCCAGCUGCAGUUCCCUGACAGUCCAGUGAAUUCAGCCAAAGGAAAUGGCCCCACAUGGAGGGCAAGUGACAGAAGACCUGAUGACUCCGGUGGCUCAGCGGAGAGUGCAUUAAUAGGCUUGACCACUUCUGCUCGAUCUUCAGGCAAGCUGGGUCUGACCCCUGGACACUGUCCCCUGGAGCCCCUGGCCUCCACGUGUCCACCCACUGCCAUGGUCAUGGCUCCUCAGCAGGAGGAGGCCCAGCAGCCUCCAGGUGCCCCUGCCUGGUGCUAGCUGCCCACCGAAGCUCUAGCCUCACACUCUCAGGUUCAAAUCCAGCGACAAGAGCGGAUCCCACAAAGGCCACGAGAGUCACCCUAAACGAAGGGGAAGCGGAGGCAGGAGGAUGCAGCAAGACCUGUUCCCUCCUCUAACGGCACUCAUAGGACAGCCCAGCCACACAUUCAAAGAAUCUUGAAGGAAUAGGAUGGUUGGUAUGGUUGGUGUGGAAGAAGGUUCAUAAAUUCUGGAUUUAGCUUUGUGGGAUUCAGCUGACCUGAAAUUUAUACCUGUGCAGGUAGGUGGUUGCUGGGUAGGGUGACCACUACUGUCUCUCUCCAUCACCCAGGGCUGUUUUCAGCUCAAAGCCACAGAAGCCCAGGCAUGGUGGCAUCUCCGGGGGAAGUUGCCUUAUUCCAGAUUCACAGGUCCGGGGCGAAGGGGCCAGGCAGGGCAGGUGUGGGGCGGCAGGAUAUCGCCCUGGGCCUGGCUCCUUCUGCCUUUCUGCCACCAUCUUCAGCGGUGCCAUUACCUCGAGGCCUUCUGUGGUUGCUGGAGCUGCCACGCUCGGCCUCCUGUCUGCCUCCAGAUGGGAGAGGAGGAAGGAGGAGGUGAGAGCAGGAAAGAGCUUACAUAAAAGACCACAUUUUCCCAGAAUCCCCAGCAGCUGCCUGUUCUCCCCCUCCACUGGGCUAGAGCUGUGUCACACAGGCUGAGCGGCCAGGAAGCUGGGCACCAUCCAGGGAGUGUGUGAUCGUCGGGGUCCUGUUGAUUCCUGCUUUUGAGUAAUGAAGGUGACCAAACCACAUGACCCUGUCUGCAAAGAUUCCACCUGGACUCCCAGUUCCUCCAAGGAACCGUCAUGUGGUUCAAAUCCAAUGAAAUUCUCUAAAUCUCCACCCUCCUCAGGGUGCAGAGUUGGCUGCUUCUCUGUGCCCCCUGCUGAUCACGGCAACCCCUGGGUGCCUCGGCCUGCGAAGCCCCAGCUGUCCUCCGUCUGCAGACAAGCCGAGGUAUGAAAGCCUCCUCGCUGGCCCAGGAGCCUGUCAUUGUCCUCCAGCAGCUCUAGCCUGGAUGCGGUCCCAGAGAUAAAUCAUAUCUCUUUAAAAAGCCACAGUGGCCCAUUAUUUCUGCUUGAAAAUACCCCUGGCUCUCUGCUGGUGAGCUGGUUGACAGGCCCCGGCUGUUGUGCUCAGUGCUGCAAAGAGUCACGUCAGUCUGUCGACUUGUGUAGUGAGCAAGCUGGUAGCUUCAGAUGGUAUGCACAUGAAAUCCCGUCCUGGCAUCCAGGACUUGGCUGGGGGUUGCAGAGAGAACCACAUCUGCAAAAGAGUUGGUAUUUUACAGUCCCAGCCUCACGUCCUUGUGAAAUGCCCUGUUCAUACUGGGCUACAGGGGCGGGAGCAAAAAUGAUACAAUGACAAUUCCUGGGCUGUGUUCUGCAAUAUUCUACAACACUUCCACAAGAAAACUCCAAUCUUUAAAAAUAGACUGAGCACAAUUAAACAAUCACUAUAGAUAUUUCUUUUCUUUUUUUUUUUUUUGAGAUGGAGUCUCAC